rnacentral:lncRNA from 1 species
CUCUAUCUCUGUCUUUCUCUCCUCCCCUCCUGUUUCUGUCCCUGUCUCUGUCUCUUUAUCUCUAUGUCUCUGCCUCUCUCUCUCUGCCCCUCUCCAUCGUUUCUGCCUCUGUCUUUCUCCAACUCUGUCUCUCCUGUUUCUCUGCCCCAUCUCUCUCUGUCUCUUUUCUCUCCCUCCCUCUCUCUGCUCCCUCCGUUUCUCUCUGUGUCUCUCUCCCUCUAUCUCUGUCUCUUCUCUGUUUCUCUGUCCCUGUCUCUCUCUGUCUCUGUCUCUAUCUCUGUCUUUCUCUCCUCCCCACCCUGGCCUGUCGGCCUCAGGCUCCUCCACUCCCUCUGGGACCCCAGGGGUCUCCACACCACCUGCAGCCCAGACUCUCCCUUCCUGCUCCUGCGAGCCCCGCCAAAACCCCGGGCCUGGCUUUCAUUGGUCUAGCUGGGAUCACGUGCUCACCACUGAGCCAAUCACGGUGUCCAGCGAGCCCAGACGGGAGCCAAUCAGUAGUGCUGGGUGGGAUGCUGGGCGGGGCCUGGGCGGCCAUGCCCCUCCCCUGAACAAGGCGGACCAGGGCAGAGACCAGCGGCCCGCGGAGGGCGGGGCGGACGGGUCUGCGGAUGAGAAGGGUCAGGGCGCACGGAGUCUGAGGGCGGAGCAGGGGCUGGGCCUCCUGUGGGACCGGAAGGGCGUGCGGUGGCCAGGACAGGGCGGGACUUUCACAAAGGGUGACUGGAAGAGUGAAUUGCCAGGUCCCAGCUCUGCCACUGUGCUGUGUGGCCUCGGGCAGGUCACUCAACCUCUCUGUGCCUGGUUCCCCGCCUGUAAAGUGGGGCCAGCAAGCAGGUGCUGUGGGGUUCACCCUGAUGUGUGCGUCACUCAGAAGGGCGGCUGCACCUCUAAGUUACUGUCACAGCAGAGACCUCCCCUGGGCGAGGCGACUGGAUCCACAGAGAGAACAUGGGCUACCCUCCAGAAAGCACCUCCCGCCCGCGGGGCACGCAGAGGGCCCAGGAGUUUCCCUUCCCGGGGCGGGAGCUACACAUCCAGGAUCCAGCUGCAGACCCACGAGGGCCUGGGCUGCGGGAUCCCCAGGCCAGCGACCUCCACCCUCGCCUAAUUGUCCCAGCUGCGUCUCCUUCACGCCUAGUUAGAUUCUGUUGUAAAGAGAUAAAAGGCUGUUACUUUGUAUCAGCAAGCCGUCCUUUUCUGCAGGACUGAGUUCCCCAAAGGGGUAGGCAGGGGGGGGCGGAGGAGGGGAAGGGAGGGGGGGGGGCGUUAAUAGACUUUGGAAUAAAAUCCUGACAGACUCAAAUUGAUUCUGCA